rnacentral:lncRNA from 1 species
UCUGCUCUCUCAGUCCACAGACGAGUUCUCCGACCUGUCGUUCCGCAUCGCGGAGCUGGUGCGUGAUCCCCGCCAGCUGAAAGAGAAGCGGGACCGGGCAGCCAAUGGAGAGCUGGAGCAGAUCGACUUCAUCGACACCAGCGUGGAGGAAGAGGAGGUGGCCAAGCCAGAGAGCAGUUCGCAGGCCGUGGCCCUGGCGGAGGAGAAGCGGAGAGCAGAGAGGAGCCUUCCCCAGAGAGCCGAUGUCGGGGAGAAGGUGCCGAACAGCAGGCCCAGCCCUCCCCAGGAAGAGCCCCCCAGCGAAGAGCGGAGGCGCCCCGAGACGCUGCAGAUCUGGCAGGAGAGGGAGCGGCAGCAGCAGGCCUUGCGGAGCCAGGCGCUGGAGAAGCGGGACAGCCUGCUGAGGAUGGGGGCCAGAGGCAGCUUUGGCAGCACACAGGGCCCGGCGGCCAGCAAGUGAGACACCCCCCACAUGAGAAAUUCCUCUCCCCUGCCCCCAAUAUCCCACGUUUCGACCU